UGCAGCUUUAGUGUUCCCUCAUGAAACCCUUAGACCACCAUGCUGUGAGGAAGCCCAGUCUAGCCUACUAAGAGACAAAAGGUCCUAUGGAGGAAAAUCAAGCCAACAGCCAGAAAAAACUGUCAGACAUGACCAAGGCAAGAUUUAUUGCCAUUUAUUUUGAAAGUGGAUAUGGAGGCUUAAGGAGGUUAAAGUCAUACAGAUAGAAGAGGAAAGAGGAUGAAUGCAUAGAUUUCAACUACUGCAUUCUACUGAGAAGGCUAAGAAAAGGUUAGAAGAUAUUUUUAUGACUAAAAGCAAAACCAACUAUUGUGAUGAAAAGAUAGACAGCACAUCACCUCACUACUGCCUCCAACGUGAUUUUGUCCCUGCCUUCCCACAGGUGGCUGGAAAGCUAGACAGGAAAGACAAUUCCAGGGAGUUAAAGUGA
rnacentral:lncRNA from 13 species